rnacentral:lncRNA from 1 species
UGAAACUGUACUUCUUAGUGUUUCUUCGUCCAUAAUCCAUGGUCUGAAAAUAUUUGCAAACAAUACCUCAGUUCCUUGAAAUUUUCGUGAGAUGAAUGUUAUGAUGCGCAUGAAUGCAUGAAUGCAACAAUCACAAAUAAGGGAUCACACACAAGGAAACAAGCAAAGGUCAAGGGAUGAAUUAAGUCAUUGUCAAGAUCAAUCAUCCAUUUUGGUGGAUUAUGG